rnacentral:misc_RNA from 1 species
UGAAGACUCUGACUCCAGUUAACUAUUCAGAAAUAUUUCCUCAAAAAAAGAAAGGGUCUGCUAAGGGUCUGGAGAUUCGGCUACAAGAAGGUUCUAAGCCAGAGAUAUAUUCAGAAGAAGAUGAGAAGCUUUUGGGUGAUUGUCAGUCGACGUGGACUUUGUUCGUGGAUGGAUAUGGCAAGGAUGGAAAGCGCAUGUAUGAUCAGGAGAAGGUUGAAUCAUGCCAUCAAUGCAGAAAGAUGCCUUCAAGAAGUCUGCAAGAGCUGAUCAUGAAGGGAGCUAUUCUAUGUGAGGCAAAAUGCAAAAAUUUUAAAACUUGCAAAGAGAUCUCACUUCCCUCAGUGAUUUUUCUUGUUUGGACGGUUACAUGUGACUAGGCCUUUUCCUUGGGGAACUCAAUACGUGUUAUCUGAUAUUUUCACUAGUUUCACAGGAAAACUUCUACAAGUCAUAGACUAGUGAGCCCAAAAUCAUGUUGCCAUGUGAAAUGUUAUUAUAUUGUAUAUAGUCCAUAUAUAUAUUGAAAGUAUAUAAUAUAUUUAAAAACUCAUAGAAAAAUAUAUGUAUAAAAUUGGUUCAAUUUCAGUUUGGUAUGGUUAUAGUUUUGUUCUUUGUGAAGAACCAAAAUAGUAAAAUAAGUUUACAAUUUUGAUCAAUUUGGCACAAUUCUUCAGUUCAUUUGAGGACUGCAAGAACCGUGUGCACCCCUAGUCCCCUACUUUUCACAACUAGAUCCUUGAAGGUCUUAUUUAGAAUCAUCAUAUGGACGUCAAUUGUUUGGAAUCCUGAAAAUUAUUUUGCCCCAGCUUAACACACUCUCAAUGCAUUGGUGGAACUGAAAAACUUGUGUGAAAUUUGUUGACUUCCAACAAGCUCUCAUAUGCUGUUAGUUAUGGCCAAAUUUAAUAGCUUGUUGUGUCGCCAUUUUGUGUAGUUUUGUUUCACUAAUUUUUCUUCUAUUUUGAUCUUCAUAAGUUUUUAUUACUUUCCAUGGAAUAGGGUUUCAAUUCUUUUGCACACAAAGGUAUCGCUACUGCCAGAGAAGGAUCUAUAUAUUUCCACACCAAAACCUUCCACAGAUUCCUGGUUUUCAGUUUGAAUGGUGAUGUCAUAAUGUUAAAUGCUUGUUUAUGUGAUAAAUGAUGAGCCUGCAACUUACUGAGCAAUUACCAUUAUCCUGUUCUGUAGCUUUCAAAUUUAAUUGUUUUUCUAGUGUGAUUGGUCAUCUAGUUGUAAUAACCAAUCAUUUAUUUUAUGUAAUCUCCCCAGCUUCAUUGAAGCUUUCUUAGAGAUGACAUCCUCUCAUGCAGGCAGAAAACUCAUGGGCAUCAUACCCAUUGCAGUAAAUGCAACACAGGCCAAGGGCAAUUUUGUGGGGAUUGCUUAUACAUGAGGUAUUUAUUGAAAUUCUCAAAACUAAAGUAGGCCACUUGUUCAUCCAUUUUAGCACUUUCCUCCUGCAUUUCUAUGUUUCUUGGACAAGUUCCAGAAAAUAAGUAAUUUGAAAUGCUAUUAUGACUCUGAGAGGACCAUAAAGAGUCCCUAAUGAAUGCAAUGUGUCACAAGUUUGGUUCUCAAAAUGUCUCCUGAUCUAUGGUCUUAUUGCUGGUAAGACAGAAGACAAACAUAGAUCAAAUUUUGGUUUGCUAUUUGCUGCAUGGUGAGUAGUCUUUACCUUUUUAUUUUUUUACUGUGCUUUGAAAUAUUGAGAAAAAAAAAUAUUUUUUUUCUGCAGUUUUAAGUAUUCUUUAUGAAAGAAGUAAAAUCAAAUAACAAAUUUCUUCCUAGGUCCCACUUCUCAUCCCAAUGAUGAGGUAAGUAUGAUUAUAGCAAAUUGUGCAGUGAAAUGCCUUAGCUUAAUUAGUUAAGGGUUCUAAAGAGCCCUUUUUGUCGUCCAUCUGCUUCCGUAUUUAUUGCAUGUAAUCAAUUGAUUGUCAGUACAAAAAGGAUACUGGAAAUGCAAUUUCAUUUUAAGCAUGCCAUAAAGAACUUUGGUGUGUCCGAGAUAAAAAAAUCAGUCUUCCAAUAUUGGUGUUUAUAAUAGUUAGUAUUAGAAUUUGGAAAUUAGAAUGUGGUCACUUCCUGUUUCCGUCUUGUACAGGUAUGGAGAGAAUGUGAUCGAAGUCAAUGAGAAUCCGAAUUGGAUUUGCCCUGUUUGUCGUGGAAUUUGCAAUUGCAGCAUUUGCCGGAAGGCGAAAGGAUGGGCACCAACUGGUUCUCUUUUUAGAAAGGUUAAUACCAUCAAUCUUUUGUGUGUGCAAGCAUGUUUUCUGAACAUUUACUUCAUAAUGCUCAUUAUGCUCUAUAGUCUUGUAGACAUAUCCUUUUGAUGCCCUGUGGUUUUGGCCUUCCAGUUUCUCAGUUUAACAAUUGCAAUUUCAAACAGACUCUUCCCCCCAUUUCUAUAAUUGCAGUAAGGACUUAUUGAAGUGGAAGUGGAGUUUUCAGACAGAAGUUGCUAAUAAAAGUUUGAUGCUUGCAUGUAUGAGAGUGCAUAUUCCACAAUGGGUAGUGAUAAUAGUGCACACCUUAUGCAAUGAUGUGGCUUCUGUUGAUGGUGUCAAAAGAAUGCCAAUGCAGAUCCAAGUAGCAUGUCGAUCAUGCAGUGGCUAACUUUGGUUUACUUUUCAGGUUACUAGGCUAGGCUUUAAGUCUGUGGCACAUUAUUUGAUUCAAACCCGACGUUCUAAAAUUCACUCGGAAUAUUCUGAUGUUGAAAAUCUGCAGUCUGAAGGGAAAGAACUGCCUCCUGCAAAUCAAGGAUCCCAGCUUGCCACCCAUUAUGAAUCUCUACAUGCAGAUGAGCACAAAAAUAGAUACCCUGAUCUUGAGCCUGAUGGCAAUGAAGUUGAGAUGGAAGAAGACAAAAAGCAAGUGUUCUGCUCUGGUAGUAGCAAACCUGUUGGUAUGAAUGAUGUAUUUAAUGACAGCGACAGUGAUAAUUCUGUUUAUGAUGUUAAUGAGCCCAAAGAGGAUAUAGAAAACAUGGGGGUUGAUAAAACUGGUGAUCAUGAUAAUUGAAGGAAAGAGAGAGAAAACAUGGGUAUGCAGUGAUUUAGUGAAUCCAACUUACAUAUUGGCAUCAGAGUAAUUCUAAUCCUCAGUUAGAAGAAUGAGAAUUACACUAAUGCUCAGAAGAAUGACUUUCUCUUUCUGAUGAAAAUUGUUCCCAUAUUCACUAGUAAGGACUCCCAGUCUAUGCCUUUGUGUACAAUGGGAGCACUACAUAUGAAGUUUUGUAAACUUGUUGCUUUUGUCAAGUUAUUCCAUGUUCUUAUUGUCUUCAUUGGCAAUGUUUGUAGAUUUCUUUUUGUUCAUUUGGUACCUCAGAAUCGUUUCUCAUCUGAAUAUGUAGGCUUAUUUUUCGUGGUGUAGUGCCUGUGUUGUGUACAUUAUAACAUGAUUAUGCAGUAUAUGGUACUGCUAAAUCAGAGGUGUUGGCAGUUGAAUUUAUGUUGUCAAGUUCUCAG